AGAUUGAACGCUGGCGGCAUGCCUAACACAUGCAAGUCGAACGGGAGUAGCAAUACUCUAGUGGCGGACGGGUGAGGAAUACGUAGGAAUUUGCCCUUAAGUGGGGGAGUAACCCGGGAAACCCGGAUUAAUACCGCAUGACCUCGAAAGAGCAAAGUGGGGGAUCGCAAGACCUCACGCUUUUGGAGAAGCCUACGUCGGAUUAGCUAGUUGGUGAGGUAAUGGCUCACCAAGGCGACGAUCCGUAACUGGUCCUGAGAGGAUGAUCAGUCACACCGGAACUGAGA
rnacentral:rRNA from 1 species